ACGGGAUAUUGCCAUGUUGCCCAGGCUGGUCUUGAACUCCUAGACUCAAGUAAUCUGCCUGCCUCAGCCUCCCAAAUGUUCCCAAUUGUUCCAGUUCAGCACAAGCAUUUCAAUUUCUAUUCCUUGUUCUAAAAGAAACUGGCUUAAUCGACCUAUUUCAAAUAAUAAGAAUGGAGAUAUUAUUAAUGUAUAGCAUUUUAAGUGAUAACCCAGAAAAUCAACACACAUUUCUGGAGCAAUGAUUCUAGCAGGAUAUUCUUGAGGGGAUACAAAGAGAUAGACUUGUCUUUAAUAAGCUCAAGGACAAGUGAAGAAACAAGACAAAACCCAUGAAAAUGUAAAUUGCUGAUCAAAGUGUAGAGUUGGAAAGGAAGGCCCUUUGAUCUCAUCUAGUCACAGAUUGACAGAAUGUUAGAUCCGAAAAGGACCUAGGAGAGGCGUCUACCCCCUCCCUUCCCAGUACCACUCCUAAUUUGUGGGUGAGCAGACCAACAGCCAGAAGGAAGACAGCAUUUAUCAGACAGUGAGUUAAUGACAGAGCAGGGAUUAGAACUCUGUUCAAGAGCCCCAGUAGGUCAGUUAAUUGGAGUGGAGAAUUCAGGUUAAAGAAUAGUAGCAGAUGUGGGCCAUGGUUGUGGAGACCUUUCUGCAUCAUACCUGAACACUGAGAAUCUACAGAAGGUCUUUAUGGUACUGCAGGUACACAACUGAUUAAGAUUCAAUGAGGCCGGGCGUGAUGACUCAUGCUCAUGCCUGUAAUCCCAGGACUUUGGGAGGCUGAAGUGGGCGGAUCCCCCGAGGUCAGGAGUUUGAGACCAGCCUGACCAACAUGGAGAAACCCCGUCUCUACUAAAAAUACAAAAAUUAGUCGGGCAUGGCACGCUGCCUGUAGUUUCAGCUACUCGGGAGGCUGAGGCAGGAGAAUCACUUGAACCCAGGAGGCGGAGGCUGCAGUGAACCGAGAUCACACCACUGCACUCCAGCCUGGGCAACAAAGCAAAACUUUGCCUUAAAAAAAAUAAAAUAAAUAAAUAAAAAUUAAAUGAUUUGUUUAUAAGGUUUUAUUAAAAAUUGAGUUUAUUAAAAAUUGAGUUUAACAUUAAUAUACACUAAUAGGAAAAUUUUUUGUUUUCUAUUUUGAACAAGACUUUUAUGCAAUAUUGAGAGAUAGUGAAAGAUUUUUGUUUGCCUUUUGAAUAAAUGGCAAGAAAAAAGAAAAAAGCAGGGAGAAAGAAGAGACAGAUUCAGCUGGCCUCAUGUUGUCUUUCUUGGGUUUUGUUUGAAAAGCUGAGUCCCCUCUCUAUCAGAGUAAAGGUUUUUCCCUUUUGAAAUUUUUUGAGUUAUCACUUUGGCUAAAUGAAUGACCUGUGAUCCUAUUUUGCAAUAUCAAGUGUGUGAAAUCUUUGAUAUUUGACAAACUUUCCAAAAAUCAAAAUUUCAAGUUCUAAAUUCAGCCCUAUUGAACUCAUUAAGCUUUUAGGUACUAAGUCCCCUGAAGUCCAAGAGAGACAUUUGGCUUAUUUGAUAUGUUAAAAUUAUAUAAGGGAAGGAUCGAAGAUGGCAGAGUGAGGCAUGCCGCCGUAAACCAGCCUCUGGGCUGUAGGCAGGCCAGUCCCCCGGGAGGCCUCAUGCAUGUGUUGGACCAUGCCCGGAGAAGAAAAAAAGAGAUUGGCCAGGGGAAAGGAAUUAAAGCAACAUUCUUUCUCCCUCCCUUUCAGAGGGGAGUGGUCAUCUACACUUAUAAAGCAAAGGUCUUAAGUUCCUUAUCAUAGGAAGAACAUUUUCUUUGACCUUUAGGUGCUUUUAUAUUCAUCUCAAAAACAAAAUUCUGAUCUCAGGACUUGGCGAACCACUGCCAAGAAAGAAAUUCUGAUCUCAGGACUUGGCAAACCACUGCUGAAACUUCACUUCUACACAGAGAGGCUUUCCUUCCCAGAACUCCAGACCAGCUGAGCAAUUAUAAGGUGUUUGCAAAGAAGACAGCUCUAUGGCAAAAUGACGACGUUCAUUCCCAGCACAAAGGAGAGUACAGGAAUGCAGCAGGCCCAGGAAGCCCAAGCUCUUCUGAGACCUUGAGGAGAGGAAUAUACUCAAUUCAGACAGAGACAGGUUUUCGAUAUGUUACCCAGGCUCGUCUUGAACUUCUGGGCUCAAGUGAUCCUCUUGCCUCAGCCUCCCAAAGUGCUGAGA